rnacentral:rRNA from 1 species
UACGUAGGGACCAAGCGUUGUUCGGAUUUACUGGGCGUAAAGGGCGCGUAGGCGGCUUAACAAGUCACUUGUGAAAUCUCCGGGCUUAACUCGGAAAGGUCAAGUGAUACUGUCGGACUAGAGUACAGAAGGGGCAACUGGAAUUCUCGGUGUAGCGGUGAAAUGCGUAGAUAUCGAGAGGAACACCUGCGGCGAAGGCGGGUUGCUGGGCUGAUACUGACGCUGAGGCGCGAAAGCUAGGGGAGCGAACGGG